AUUGAACGCUGGCGGCAGGCCUAACACAUGCAAGUCGAGCGGAUGAGUGGAGCUUGCUCCAUGAUUCAGCGGCGGACGGGUGAGUAAUGCCUAGGAAUCUGCCUGGUAGUGGGGGACAACGUUUCGAAAGGAACGCUAAUACCGCAUACGUCCUACGGGAGAAAGUGGGGGAUCUUCGGACCUCACGCUAUCAGAUGAGCCUAGGUCGGAUUAGCUAGUUGGUGGGGUAAAGGCCCACCAAGGCGACGAUCCGUAACUGGUCUGAGAGGAUGAUCAGUCACACUGGAACGGAGACACGGUCCAGACUCCUACGGGAGGCAGCAGUGGGGAAUAUUGGACAAUGGGCGAAAGCCUGAUCCAGCCAUGCCGCGUGUGUGAAGAAGGUCUUCGGAUUGUAAAGCACUUUAAGUUGGGAGGAAGGGCAGUAAGUUAAUACCUUGCUGUUUUGACGUUACCAACAGAAUAAGCACCGGCUAACUUCGUGCCAGCAGCCGCCGUAACAC
rnacentral:rRNA from 1 species